UACAGAGGGUGCAAGCGUUGCUCGGAAUCAUUGGGCGUAAAGGGCAGGUAGGUGGUCUCAUUUGUCCGGGGUGAAAGCCUUGAGCUUAACUCAAGAAGUGCCCCGGAAACGGUGAGACUGGAGUCUUGGAGAGGGUCGUGGAAUUCCCGGUGUAGCGGUGAAAUGCGUAGAGAUCGGGAGGAACACCAGAGGCGAAGGCGGCGACCUGGACAAGUACUGACACUCAACUGCGAAAGCGUGGGGAGCAAACAGG
rnacentral:rRNA from 1 species